rnacentral:tRNA from 1 species
GUUCCUGUGGUUGAGGUAGCAACGGCGGCUUUUCAGGCCGUAGACCUUGGAGAGAAGCCAAGCGGGAACCG